UGAUUGACAGCUUUGAGAGUGG
rnacentral:miRNA from 1 species